UUUCCUUAGUGACCAAGGGAUGUGUUCCAGCAGGUAAAAUUGUGGUUCCUUUAGAAACUAGACACAAGAUUAAAUGUAUUGUAAAAUACAUGCCAAGCCAUACAGCAGCUGAGACUCACAAGGUAGGCUGUGCAAAUGUUGUGAUGCAUUUUGCCAAAACCAGCACAGAAACUGCAGACAGGAGAAGUGUAAAUGGCUGAAGGUUAACCCAGGACAACAGGGCACUACAGGGCUGCUCACAAGUGGAAUCGUCUACGUGCUGCCAUGGAAACAGCAGCCUUGGUCCCCAGCACAGCUUGCAGCCAUCUGCAAGGGAACAAUUGUUGGCCUGUUUGUUUAAAACCAUCCGGGGUGGUGCUGGGCGGUGUGUGGCUGGCCAAGGGGAAGCCACAUGGGACAUGACAGGACGUGCUUGUCACACUGAAUAACGCAGCAGACAAAUGCCCACAGAUGGGAUCGGCAGUGUCCUGUCUGGAGAAGCGCUGAUGUGCAAAACUGGUGUGAAUCACGUUGGUUGAAUGACUGUUUGAGACCCAGGAACUGCAGCACAUGGCUUGUGAUGCUCACAAGCAUUCACCCUGAUGGGUUUCGGUUCGUGUGGACCCCGGCAAGCAGAGGUCUGUGCAUGCAAAGUCUGUGAGAGGCCACAGUGUGGGAGCACUGAGCAGGCUGCUGCUUCCGAGGAGCUGGAUUUUGACUGCUCCGGUGGGAAACGGAGCCAGGUUAACUUUCUGCACGCGAACAGUUUGACUGAACACACCAGGCUUCCUGGCAUGAAACCGGUGCAGAGGACUGAGCAUCAGCCAGCAUUUGCCAAAACUGCUGGGAAACCAGCUCCUGGCUUUACUCAGCCAUGUGCUGGGCUUCAAAUCUGUGAAGAAGAGGUUCUGUUUGCAGGCAGUUGCCCUACCUGAAGAGAUGCACAUAGAAAAGAAACGCACAUGGGAAAUGGCAGAGAAUCUGAUCCACACUAACCUCCUCCCUGCUUGGGUGGGACUAUUAAGCCCAGGUUUGGUCUGCUGGAUCAUGACCUAAAUGUGCUCUGAUGUCGAGUGUGUAUUACUCUGAUCUCAUGCUGAUGCCAUGUGGAAAGUCACUGGAGAGCCCUGCCAGAAGGAGGUGUCCUUCCUCUGCUAGGAAUGGGUGAGGGUACAACCUGCUGGCUGCCAGCUCUGCCCUUUACCCUUCAGAGGUCCUUCAGCACCAUCAGUACCCAGCUGUGAGCUGGCUUGGGUUUCCUCACCCUUGUCAUCUGCC